AUCGGGAAACGUGAUUCUCUCACCCGUGGCGUAUCCUGAACGGGUUGUCAUUCAUAUCUGGAAAACAGACUUACUAAUUAGAGGAAUUAAUCUCAGUUUUCACAAGUGAACGUUUUAUAUCGACACAUGGAUAUGGAGCGACGUGGAAUCUUCUGAAUUUGACGCAGUACUAGAUUUACUCUGUGGGAGAUGCGCGAGCUAUGAGUCUCCUGUAAAGCUAGCCUCCUGUCUACUGGCUUAUGGAUCCAUCCAGAAAUCCAUGUUGGUGAUGCCAUACUUCCGUGUAAGCCUCGCGGCGAGAACUCCACAUAACCACCGGAGGAGGAGGAGAAGAGAAGGACGAGUGGGAGCUGAGCUGCUGGAGGAUAAGACAUGGUUGGAGGAGUGAACUCAGAGCAGAUGGCUGUGGAAAACACCUACCACACAACGAAGAAGAACCUAUUGGACUCACUAAUGGACGUUUCUGGAUCAUGAUCUGCCGGAUAUUUAUUAAAUGUUUUCACAUACCUUUUUUAUAAUGGGUCACCAAGGGAAAGUGGAGAAGAAGAGACCAGUUUAAAAACAGACUGAAAGACUGCCAGAGUUCUGGUUGAAGCCCGUGAGGGUACUGCGUCUCAGAGCUUUUGAGAGUUCUGGUUGAAGCCUGUGAGGGUACUGCCUCUCAGAAUGCCUGUGCCAGAAGGUGGAGCGACCACGGACACUCCGAACCAACACAGUGGCCAUCAUUCAAAACGACACAAGAGAGCACAAGGGAGAAGCCAUGCAGAUAUUAAAUGGACCCCGUAACCAUCCAGCCUGCUUCAGGAGGCCGUCCUCUGCUGAAAGCAUGGAGAAGUGGGAAGGCACGGGAUGAUCACACAUCAUAUAGAUAUUUUGGUGUCUAACAGGCCUGGCUCAGACAGGGGACUGAUAGAGGGAGAGUGCCCGAAAUAUGUGCUGGCACUGAACUCUCCCUGUGAGGGCCAGAGCUGGACACUGAGGAGGGCGGCUGGAGCGGAAUAAAGCAGCCACACAAAGACACACACACACACACACUGGCCUUGUUUGGUGGGGAUCGCACCUCCCAUUGUUUUCCCCCCAACAGUUGGUUCAUGCCAUGCUCCAGUGGCCCCCGGUGCGCUCCAAUGCUCCGGGUGAAAUAGGCUCCUGUGCUCUCGCCUCCUCCACACCCCACACCCCACACCCACCCCCAGUACGGAGCCUGACCUGAAACCAGGGCCCGACCAGUGGGGCUGUGACUCAGACUCCAGGAGGAGAGGCCUUGGCCUGAAUGGAGAGGGGAGAUUAGCCCAUUCUGCUGCCAGUGGAGAGGAUGGUAUUGACCAUGGGCCACCCAUGGUGACUCCAGUGAGCCGUGUGAUGGCCUGAUAUACAUGCUUAGCAGCCAUGGCAGAUUCCCCCACUCUCACUGGGGAUAAAACUGGGAGUUACAAGCCUCUUUUUGUAAACAGAGCUGGGAAGAUUAGGAGAGGCGCCCCUCGUCCCUCCCUUCUGCCCAUGUCCUCGUAAGAAUGCCAUUAGUAGCGAACUGCCCAGCAGUGCCAGUAAUGACGGUCAUGAUAUCGAAAGAAGGGACUCAUCAGCCAGUGGAAGAAAAGACUGGAAGUAAAGACUGAGAAAAUGAUUUUAAGAGAUACAGAGUUUUUACAGUAAAGACAAUAAAAUAAUGUAUAGAGAUACAGAGUUUUUACAGUAAUCCUUCUUUAUAUGCUAGUUUCUCACAUGCACACUGGUUUUGUCUAUGUACCAAUAUAGGGAGCCAUUAGGUAGAUCCUGUAUUCACUUGUUUAACAAAAUAUUUUCACAUAUUAGACCCUUCCACUGUAGCAAACCUCAAGCGAGAGGACAUGCUAAUUUAACAUGAGCUACUUUUGCUAGCAUCAUUGUUGGCAGCCGGUCGAGGUAGCUAAGGUAAUUAAUGAAAUUCGCAUCCAGCUAAUUGCUUGUUCAGACAAGGGUGUCAUUAUGAUUGUUUUGCCUUUUAAAUAAACAGAACCAAUCACAAACAAUUUCAGAAAACCUCUGAAACUGGUUAUUGAAACUGGUAUAAGUUACUGACUAUAGUUAUUUCAGAUAAUAUCACAAAACUUAGAGCAUAAGAUUACAGGCACACUCAGUUAUUUUUAGAUUCACAUUCACUGAUAUAUGUGCGUAGAUUAACAGGACCACACUCGAUAACAGCCGAUAAUGUCAUAGCCAGGCAUUAUUGCAGGCUAGGAACCAUAACAUUACAUAACCAUAACCAUUUCAUUAUUGCCUUUAGUUUCUUCAUCCAUUUUAGAUACUCAACAGCAAUGAGACAUAAAGAGAUGUAUGCUCCCAUUAAAAUCUGUGUGCAUUAUGUGGACAGACCGUUUCAUUUUCAUUUAGCCCAAAAAUAAUCAAUUUACAGCUUUUGUGUUAAUUUACAGAAUUUCAACACAACACAUUCACCUACACAAAAUAAUGUAUGUUUCAGAAAUGAAUAGAUAUUUCAGUGAAAUUGUUUUAUAUUUUACAUGUGUCAAAAUGGGGCUCCAUCUCAAUAAACAGUCAGUAUAUUUUCCCUGG